rnacentral:rRNA from 1 species
UACAGAGGUGGCAAGCGUUGUUCGGAAUUACUGGGCGUAAAGGGCGCGUAGGCGGCCAUCUAAGUCAGACGUGAAAUCCCCCGGCUUAACCGUGGAAUUGCGCUCGAGACUGAAGGGCUCGAGGACGGGAGAGGAUGGUGGAAUUCCCAGUGUAGAGGUGAAAUUCGUAGAUAUUGGGAAGAACACCGGUGGCGAAGGCGGCCAUCUGGACCGUAUCUGACGCUGAGGCGCGAAAGCGAGGGGAGCAAACAGG